rnacentral:rRNA from 14 species
GACGCUUGUGGGAACUCCAGACAUAGUUAUCUUUUAUGUUUAAUAAAUUAUACAGACCAUGGAAUCUAAUUACUAGGAGAUAUGGUUUGCAUAUUAGGAAAGUAUAUCGUUUUUGAUAUAUCUGGUGCGUUCUCAAUGGCCCUUGAAAACUAUACAGCGUGAUUUAUUUGCACUACUGGUCGUACUCAUAACCGCCUCAGGUCUCCAAGGUGUGCAGCCUCUAGUCGAUAGAAUAAUGUAGAUAAGGGAAGUCGGCAAAAUGGAUCCGUAACUUUGGGAUAAGGAUUGGCUCUGAGGGUUGGGCAAUGGGGUCCAUAUCUCGAACCCUGAGUUUGGCCGAAACUGCAGGACUCUCGGGUCUUGUGGAUUUGUGCUAGAUUUAGGAUGACGGAUAUGGACUGUUCUUCGGAACGUCCUAUUGCAGUGAACAACUAUCUCAGAACUGGAGCGGACAAAGGGAAUCCGACUGUUUAAUUAAAACAAAGCAUUGCGAUGGUCGGAAA